AGUUUACAGUUGCUUGGAUUGUCCGGAGACUGCAACAAACUUGCCCCGACUCAUCCUAAAAUACGCCUUAAACCGACCAUCAUUAGGACGAAGCUACUGAACCAACUGGUUGGCUAAUACCAGUGUCUCCUCUUUCUGAGGGUCUCAUGUAGGCUACACACACGGAUCUCCCUUUCCCGAUCUCCUGCGUGUCUGUACACCUCUCACCCUCAAACAGUGCCAGAGCAGGCGCUCUGCGUUUGUCUCUUUUAUUAAAGCGGAUGGUUUUAGUGACAAAAGACACAGACCUGUGAGUUUCUGCUAAUAUGACAGUUAUUAAUUAGCGGCAAACCAAAGAUUACAGUUCGCUGGCGCUUUGAUUAGACUGACAGGACAGCUGAUUCGGUGAAAAACGCAGCGCACUAAUCUUUUCCAAUUUCCACCAAAGGCAUUGGUGUGCGCCUCGCGUUUUGCGAUUUUCGUCUUUUCGGGGCCUUAAACUGCAGAUUGUGUUUUGAGUUUUCAGAAGUGGACUUCCGAAAUGGCUCCUCCCACUUCGCAACGGGGGAUUCAAAAAGAAAAUGGCGCUGAUUCACCUGUGAGAGAGGAAGGACUAACCUCCCGGGACCAUGUCAAAACCUUAAUUUGUGGUAGAUUUUGCUUCCCAUGAGGGGCCGAGUCACCGUCGACAGUCGGCAUGGAGCCGGCUAAACUACAGUUAAUAGCAGCUACGUUGAGGGUUAACGUUUAGUCCAGAGGGUGACGCUUGACGAAGGCUGGCCACAAUGGACUGACCGUAAUGGGAAAAGGUUGACCCUCUGAGGAGCGAGGAAUGUGUUGAGAUUUCCUUGGAUACUGAACUCCAGUUGACAACCAGCUUGAAUGCAGAUUAACAGAACUGUGACGGCUGCAGCCUGACUUUGUGUUGUGAAACGCUGCCAUCUAGUGGACACUGUAACAUCACAGGGAGAUAGGACCUCUGUCAAAAAUAGAUGCAUUUUCUGUAUGGUGGAAUCACAAGCAUUGUCAAACGGCCACAAUCGUCUCCAACCGCUCCGCCGUAGCCGUGGUGUGUUCAGUGUUUUUGCAUCAGCUCAGAAGCAGCUGACCCACAGCUACAAUAAACUGCAACCAAUCUCUUGCCACAAAGAAACUGAGAGACCCCUGAAGAACUGCAGGGAGAGUUCGUAGGUCAGGAACAUGGUGGCGCUCAUCGGGAAGCCUCUGAUGGCAUUUACUGACGCUCCGCGGAAGAAAACCUGCACACAAGAACGCACAGUUUCAGUGACCUACAUUUUAAUCUUUGGUUAUUAAAAGAAACAACUCGGGGCAUUAACAUCCGCUGGAAAUAUUUAAACCAGUAAAAAGGGCCUGUAAAAAAUAAAACAAUGAUAAUUAUAGCAAUAUAUUGUUACCCUAUAACAAUGUUUUUGAUUUAACUCAUUUGAAUCACAGAUGAAUUAGCACUUAUUUUGGAAUGAGGAUAUAUAUUUUGUUUAAUUUGACUUGUGCAUAUUUGUUUAAAAAAAAGAUUUUAAUAAUUGUUUUUAAUGUUCUAUCUCUGUUUUGCAAGUGUUUAUCAUGCUCAUGUAUCAUGUGAAAGGUUUAAAACCACAAUUAACCACCUGGUUUCUUCAAAGAUCUGCUUUUAAACUUUAAAAUGAUUUUACAUUGAUCAUGAAAAUUAUUGAUAUUGAAUGUUGUUUUUUUUAUAAUGAUAACACUUUUGCUCAGCCCUAGUCAGAACUGAUGAAAAAUGUACCUUUUGCACAUGCACAAAAAAAAAAAAACCAGGACAGACAAGAGAUGCAACAAGAGAUAUGUCUGAUACUGUUUUGGAUCCAGUUCCAGUUUGGAAAAAUACCCAGAUUUGUUAAGAAAAUCACUUUCUAUCCCUCUUCUUAAUCAGAAAAUAUUCAGGUAACAUUAGCAAGCUUCAAAUUUUUUGCUAGAUCUUACGGUCACUUUCACCGGUUAAAACAAAUAUCAUGGUGGCGGAUUAUCAGAUGUAGACGAUUAAUGUUAUUCUGUAACAGCCAGGGCUGCAGUCAUUUCCAUGUGGUUAAAUUUGCUGAUGAAUCCAGAAAAGAAACAGAACUCUGUAACGCGGCUCUGCAACUGUGCCGUUUUGUAAUUCAAUAAGACCGCAUCAAAUGCAGGUAGCUUGUGAAAAAUGUCAAAUUAAGAGGACUACAGCUGUUUAAUGUGUCAGAUACGUUUCAUCAAUAUUUUAUGCUGUUAAUCAUAUUUUAUCUACAGGUUGUGAACAUUAAUUAUGCUACCACUAAAAACUAGUAAAUGAGUAUUUGUGGCGUCUUAUUCUUGGGGGGUUUAACUUAUUUAUAACUUUAGUUGAUUGUGAAUCAGUUGUCAUUUUUAUAAAUCUUGUUUUCAACAGUGAUAUUGUUUUACUUUUGCUAAUGUUCAUUUUAGUUUUGUUUGCUCACUUUUUGAAUUUCACAAAUACCAAAUAAAAUGAAAUGAUAAAAUGCC